GAAAGUUGUUCCCCUCCCUCACACACCCUUGUCUCCAAAAAGGGCUUUGCUAGGGCAUAAAUCCUUCUCCUUACCAGCUAGCUCCAAUAUGCUUCGUACUCUCGACUCCGUAGCUUGCUCCAGUGCCCUAUUACUUUAGUGGGUUACCAUUCCUUGUGCUAGCGUCUAAAAAGAUGAGAGAAAUGUCCAAGGUGGAUCUAAUGGUCGCAGCGGUGCAGCUUAAGCUAUUCUGUUAAUGAUUAGCGGGCUCUUAAGAGCAGUUUUAUGGCCAUGGUGCCUUUUUGUAAUAGUUGUUCUAAGAGCAACCCUUGUCAGCUUUUAUGUUUAGUUCCUGGCAUUAUCCUUGACAUACCUUAGUAUUUCAAGUACCUUUAUGGAUGACUAAAUUCUUGGUUUA